AUAAAUUUUGCUAAAGAACAGAUGGGACAACUUGAUGAUUUUGUGGAUUCAAGUAAAGAACUGAAUGUGGACUCUAGCUUACAAUUGCAGAAUCUCAUGAGAGCCAGUAGUAAUGGAACCCUUGAUCUGGAGGAUGAUGAUGACGAACCUCUUCUCCAGAUGUUUGGUCAAAAUGAAGAAGAGAUAACUCCACGUUUAACUUUCAACCUCGAGGAAUGAAUCAUAAAUAAGCGAUGUUUGCAGAUGCUUGAUGAAAGUUCACUCACCUAAGAGAUUGCCUCAGUAUGGGUAGACCAUCCUUAAUCCAGUAGUACCGUUCAGUCUUUAGUGUGGUGCUCAGCAAUGCAUUGAUAACCUGAGUAGAGUUGGCACAGCUAAACCAUGAGAACGGAGGCAAGCCAAAAAGUACUUCCAGAUGUUGAAGAGAGGGUGCGAUUGUUGCAUGUAUCAUUCCAGUCCAUGUUUAAUGUCUUUAACAUAGUAGUUUAAUUGAAGUAGACUAUAAAUAACGUGUAUCAUUUAGGUUGAUGGCCUUCUUUCAAGCACAUUUAAUUAUUGUUGUCCUAUAGUUUGUGCACAUAAGAUUAAUGUGUAAUGAAGAAAUGCAACUAAAAAAUUUACAUUUUGAAAAUAAUUAUCUCACAAUCAAUAGUAAACCAAUCCUCACAACCACGAUUAAAAACUUUUGGACAGGUUCACCAUUUACUAAUUGAUUUUGAUGAUUGUACUACUAAUCAGGGGCGGAUCCAGAGAUGUCCAAACGGGGGUGGAGGGCGUGAAAGUUGGGCUGACGAGACAACACCAUCCUAGGGGGUCCAAGGGAAUGCCCCUCAAAAUUUUUGUGUUCUAGGUGCCCGAAAAUAACAUUUGAGGCGUUCUGGGCUACCAUUUUUUUCUUUUUCUUUCUUUUUUUUCUUUUUUUUUCUUUUUUUAACCUGCGAAAAAGGGGGGAGGGCCGGGGCCAGGCAACCACCCCUCCUCCCCCCUAAAUCCGCCCCAGAUAAUAUUUUUAAUUGCCAUCAACACUAAGCAAUAAAAUGUUUUUUAUGAAUGUUUCGGUGGAAAGCAAUGUCUUCCUGUGAGAUUGUGCUACUAGCUACAGACACGUGUCCGUAAUUGUAAUUGUACGAUGGUUAAUUAAAAUAAUGCAAAUAUGUUA